AUUGAACGCUGGCGGCAGGCCUAACACAUGCAAGUCGAACGGUAACAGGAAACAGCUUGCUGUUUCGCUGACGAGUGGCGGACGGGUGAGUAAUGUCUGGGAAACUGCCUGAUGGAGGGGGAUAACUACUGGAAACGGUAGCUAAUACCGCAUAACGUCGCAAGACCAAAGAGGGGGACCUGCGGGCCGCUUGCCAUCGGAAGUGCCCAGAUGGGAUUAGCUAGUAGGUGGGGUAACGGCUCACCUAGGCGACGAUCCCUAGCUGGUCUGAGAGGAUGACCAGCCACACUGGAACUGAGACACGGUCCAGACUCCUACGGGAGGCAGCAGUGGGGAAUAUUGCACAAUGGGCGCAAGCCUGAUGCAGCCAUGCCGCGUGUAUGAAGAAGGCCUUCGGGUUGUAAAGUACUUUCAGCGGGGAGGAAGGGAGUAAAGUUAAUACCUUUGCUCAUUGACGUUACCCGCAGAAGAAGCACCGGCUAACUCCGUGCCAGCAGCCGCAGUAA
rnacentral:rRNA from 1 species